UAAACAGUGUGGUGCUUAGCAAAUGGUCUAC
rnacentral:piRNA from 1 species